GGGAGAAAGAAGCUGAGUCAGGCAGUCGCCAUGAUUCUCCCACUCCAGACAGCCGCAGGUUAAGAUCUUUCCUGGGGAGCUGCUGGCCCCAGGAUGCCCUGGGUUGGCCCUGCUCCUGCUGCUGGGAACUGGCCCCCAGAGCCACCUCUGUCCCAGCUGUAGUUGUCUGUUACCAGCCUCAGGAGGAUGCCUGAGCCAGUGACUGAUGGGUGAGACUUAAAUGCCCCCUGCUAGGAACUUUGCUUCUGUCCUGGUGCCUAUGCUGGGGAGACAGCAGACUUCAAGAAAAUCAAGCUGUUCUUCCAUGUCCCAGGUUGACUAGGUUACAUGAGCCAACACUUUCCCCUCUUGGCCUUAAGGUUACAUGAGCAGCAUUUCUAUAACUCGUGACAAGUCCCCAUGACCUUCGUGCUGUCUCUGUUAUGAAGCCACGCCACACCCCUCUGGUCCUUCAACCACACACCACAUCCUGGUCCCCUGGAGGAGGAGGAUUUCCUUUCAGUGGUCAUGAGUGAUGACCAGCGCCAUGGAGAGGCAACUCCAGAGCUCUUCUUUAAACUUUACCAAGUGGUCCUGAGUUCAUGCUGUGGAGAACUUCAUGCAAGGACCCUCGUGUGGCCUCUCAGAUAUCCUGAAACUGGGAACGGAGUGGGCAUUCAUCAUGGCCCCCACCCACAGUAAAGUCUCUGUAGCCACAGCUCCCAGCUCUAUGUGCCACAGAACUGACUGUGGGUCCCAGGUGAGUAUAAUCACUUCUCUCCUGCUCUUGAGAAAUAGUUCCGUAGUUCUUCUUUGACUGGCAGUGGUCUGCCUCUGCCAGUUCUCGGGAUCGUCUUCUCAGC